GACGAACGCUGGCGGCGUGCUUAACACAUGCAAGUCGAACGGAAAGGCCCUGCUUUUGUGGGGUGCUCGAGUGGCGAACGGGUGAGUAACACGUGAGUAACCUGCCCUUGACUUUGGGAUAACUUCAGGAAACUGGGGCUAAUACCGGAUAGGAGCUCCUGCUGCAUGGUGGGGGUUGGAAAGUUUCGGCGGUUGGGGAUGGACUCGCGGCUUAUCAGCUUGUUGGUGGGGUAGUGGCUUACCAAGGCUUUGACGGGUAGCCGGCCUGAGAGGGUGACCGGCCACAAUGGGACUGCGAGACGGCGCAGACUCCUACGGGAGGCAGUAGUGGGGAAUAUUGCACAAUGGGGGGAAGCCUGAUGCAGCAACGCCGCGUGCGGGAUGACGGCCUUCGGGUUGUAAACCGCUUUCGCCUGUGACGAAGCGUGAGUGACGGUAAUGGAUAAAGAAGCACCGGCUAACUACGUG
rnacentral:rRNA from 1 species